rnacentral:tRNA from 1 species
GGUGUGGCUCAGUGGCAGAGCUCUUGACUUACAUGCAUGAGACCCUAGGUUUGACCCCCAGCACC